AAUGAACGCUGGCGGCAGGCCUAACACAUGCAAGUCGAACGAGUGGCGGACGGGUGAGUAAUGUCCGGGUAACUGCCUGAUGGAGGGGGAUAACUGCUGGAAACGGUAGCUAAUACCGCAUACCAUCAGAUGUGCCCAGAUGGGAUUAGUUUGUUGGUGGGGUAACGGCUCACCAAGGCGACGAUCCCUAGCUGGUCUGAGAUGAUGACCAGCCACACUGGAACGGAGACACGGUCCAGACUCCUACGGGAGGCAGGAGUGGGGAGUAUUGCACAAUGGAAGGAAGUCUGAUCCAGCCAUGCCGCGUGGAUGAAGAGAGCAUGCGGGUUGUAAAGUACUUUCAGCGGGGAGGAGUUACCCGAAGAAGAAGCACCGGCUAACUCCGUGCCAGCAGCCGCGGUAAUUC
rnacentral:rRNA from 1 species